rnacentral:rRNA from 1 species
CGGCGUGCUUAACACAUGCAAGUCGAACGAACCUUCGGGUUAGUGGCGGACGGGUGAGUAACGCGUGGGAAUCUGCCCUCAGGAGGGGGAUAACGGUUGGAAACGACCGCUAAUACCCCAUAUGCCGAGAGGUGAAAUGAAUUUCGCCUGAGGAUGAGCCCGCGUCUGAUUAGCUUGUUGGUGAGGUAAUGGCUCACCAAGGCUUCGAUCAGUAGCUGGUCUGAGAGGAUGAUCAGCCACACUGGGACUGAGACACGGCCCAGACUCCUACGGGAGGCAGCAGUGGGGAAUUUUCCGCAAUGGGCGAAAGCCUGACGGAGCAACGCCGCGUGAGGGACGAAGGCCUCUGGGCUGUAAACCUCUUUUCUCAAGGAAGAAGAUAUGACGGUACUUGAGGAAUAAGCCACGGCUAAUUCCGUGCCAGCAGCCGCGGUAAUACGGGAGUGGCAAGCGUUAUCCGGAAUUAUUGGGCGUAAAGCGUCCGCAGGCGGCCUUUCAAGUCUGCUGUUAAAGCGUGGAGCUUAACUCCAUCAUGGCAGUGGAAACUGAUAGGCUUGAGUAUGGUAGGGGCAGAGGGAAUUCCCGGUGUAGCGGUGAAAUGCGUAGAUAUCGGGAAGAACACCAGUGGCGAAGGCGCUCUGCUGGGCCAUAACUGACGCUCAUGGACGAAAGCCAGGGGAGCGAAAGGGAUUAGAUACCCCUGUAGUCCUGGCCGUAAACGAUGAACACUAGGUGUCGGGGGAAUCGACCCCUUCGGUGUCGUAGCU